rnacentral:lncRNA from 1 species
UUUUUUAUAUACUAGAAUUGAUAAAUUAACCCUAAAAUCAUAUUUUCUAAGCUUUUGCAUUUAGGGGUGUUUUUUUUCCAUUUCCUAUAGGUUUUUCUGUUAUUAUUAGUUGGGUUAAGGGCGAUUAAUUCUUUUUCUAUUUUAAAAAAAUAUCAAGAAAAAAGUUGAUAAUACAUGCUACACAGGUGCUAGUGUGUGGAACAGCUCCGCCCUCUUUGAACGACACUUGAACCAUCGUCCGAUAAAGAACAUCAACUUCCAUCACGGUAUUUAAAACUACACAAGGCUCUCUUCACAUGGAGUUGCCCUUUUUUUUUUUUUUCCUCUUCUCUCUCUCUCCUUCAAAUUGAAUUUAGUGAUGACCAUUAAAAAAAUCAAAUUUGUCCUUUUAUUUUAUGACAUUUCAUAUUUGUCCCUCAAUGUUUUGAUUUCUAAUUUAAUUCUUAGCUCUUUUAUUAUAUUUUAACUUAUUUUUAAUUUCAUCCUUGAUUUUUAAUUUCUUCAAGUUUGGUCUUCAUUCACUUGAUUUUUAUUUUUAAUCUGGAUUCUUUUAUGAAUUUAAUUUUACCUUUCAAUUCAAUUUUUUAUGAUAUUUAAAGUUAGGCACUCAAUGUUUUGAUUUUAAAUUUUGAUUCUUAACCCUUUUAUAAAAUUUUAAUUUUUUUACAAUUUCAUCAUUGAAUCCAUAAUCUUGGUUUUUAUUUUUCAAAUUUGAUCCUUGUUCUCCUGUUUUUUACCUUUUGUUUUGGAUUCUUGUGUUAAUUUCAUUUUUCUUUUUAAUUUUACCCUUUAAUUUAAAAAUUGAUGACAUUUAAGUUUAGGCCCUCAAUGUUUUGAUUUUAAAUUUUAAUUCUUAACCCUUUAACCAAAUUUUAAUUUGUUUUCAAUUUCAUCAUUGGAUUCAUAAUUUUAAUUUUUUAUUUUUUCAAGUUUGGUCUUUAUUCUCUUGAUUUUUAUUUUUAAUUUGGAUUCUCUUGUGAAUUUAUUUUUUCUUUUUUAUUUUUCCAUUUCAUUCAAAAUUUUAGGCCAUGCUCCUAUUUUUUGGAAGUUGAAUCGAGGCAAGUAUCGGUCCCAGUCAAAUAUAUUGUUUUCUAUUUUAUAAAUAAAGUAAGGAUGACAUCAUUUUGAAAAAAUAAAUGAAACUAGUCAAUAAUUUUUUACCCGGUCUUGACUAGGUUUGCCACGGGUUGAUCAAGUUACAGGUCAACUUGUGUUUUUUAUUGUUUCACAAUGGGUCAAUUCUCCUCAAAUUUCUUUUGAAACCCGACCCACCCUAAACCCCGGGUCACCCGAGUCACGGAUCAACCCAUUGUUCGCUAUCUAUUAGGUUAUACUGUUUACAUGACCCCUCUCGCGAGUUUUGGCGAUCUCACCUGGAUUUGUUGGUGCUUUAUUUUUAAAAAUUUAUUUUUAUUAACUAUUUUUUUUCAAUUUUAUCCUUAUAUGUUUGGAUUCUUGAGGAUUGGUAAUUUUCUCACUUUUUUUUAUAGUGUCUAAGUCAUGAAUUUUUUCUAUUAAACAUUGUUUUUUUACGUUAUAAAAAAUUUAGCUCCUCUAAUGUCUAAGUCAUGAAUUUCUUCUCUCUUCUUUAAAAUACAUUAAAAGAGCUUAAAUAUUAUUAUUUUUAUAUUACAAAAAAUUUAGCACGAUACGCAACAAAGAGCAAAAAACCAAUCUAAUUAUAUACCAUAAAGUCUUAGCAUGAAUAGUUUUUCUUGAUCAAUUGAAGACUUAUUUUAGUAUUAAUGUCAGAAAACUCCAUAAAAUAAUAAUAGGAAAACACCCUUUUUAAAAGAAAAAAUAAUUCCUUAUUUACUUCUUUUUUCAAUUUAGAAGAAGGUUGAAACUCAAAACCCUUCGAGAAGGGAAAAGUACAAAACAUUUGACCUAACCAACUGGUGCCCAUAUAACCAAUAUUAUCAUGCGGCUUUGUACAAGACGUUUUUUCAACCGCACUCGUCGUUGAAUUUUCUAAUCAUGCAUUUGCAACACGUCCAACAUAAAAUGAAAACGCCUAACAUACAUACAUAAUAAAUCAAGAUUUUAUAGGUAUAUAUUUAUUAAAUAAUACCGGAUUAAGAAAAACUUACGAGUAUAAAUUUUUUCAAACACGAACACGUCUUAAUAAAGAUGUAUUGGGUCUACCGCUAGCCAGACCCAGCUACAAUUGAGCGUAAUAAUGUGCCGAGCCUCAGGCGUGAUAGGUUUAGUGCUAGCCAAAUCUAGUCAUGGCUGGGCUUGACAGUAGCGCCAGACCCAACCACAAAUGGAUUUAACAGUGUAUCUAGCCCAAACAUUGGUCAAACCUAAAAGAUGAUUGAAUCUAACACCAUCAAUUCUAUAUGUUUUUUUAUAUAAAAUCACAGAGGAAUUAUUUCUCAACAAAUAAGUUUAAUUAAACAAAUCUAUACUCCACAAAGAUCAUUAGUUUUAUUAAAGUCUUUCAUGGCCAGCAAUGUCACUAUGUCGCUAUAUAAAAUGAAUGGAAUACAACUCAUAAUAUCACAAAGGUAAAAAAUUACACUUUAAUCUUUUCUUUCUAUAAAAGUACAAGAUUUAUGGGUUAUAAAUUCAUCAUGUGAUAUUUAUAAUCUUUAUUUUUUAUUACAUAUAUACUUUCAGAGUAUAUUUUUUUAGAAUAUUAUUGUAUUUUUUUUAAAAAAAAUACUUAUUUAAAUGAAAAAGAAAACAAAAUUAAAAAAGCAAAUUUGUUGGCCUAGCCGUAAGUGUUGUGCACAUCAUAGACUAGGCUUUUGUUAAAUACUUGUUAAACCAUUGAAACUCCCUGUCCUUGAACUUUAAAUAACAGCCAUCAUUGAUGGGGUGGAUCAUUAUGGGGAUGGUGUUUUGGAGUAGUGAUUUUUGUCAAAAUUCUUUGUUUCGGCAAAUGGGCAGGUUACUUGAUUUUUUUUUUUAAUAAUUAUGGAUGUUCAAGUCAGUUUACAUACACCUCGAUUAAUCUCUCAAGACUCUUAAGUUAACGAUUAAGUAAGUUUCCAGUAACCUUAAAGUUUAUAGCAUUCAAAUUUGUAAUUUUUAGAAAAUAAACCUAAAAUUUAACUAAUUGAGUUAUAUCACUCGAAAUUAAGUUACUCGAUUUUAAAAAAAAAUAUUAAUGUGGGUAUUCGAGUCAGCUUGCGUGCACCUUGAUUAAUUUCAUGGGCCCUGAAGUUAACGAUCAUGUAAACCUCAAGUAGCCAUCAUAUUAGUAAUCACAUGAUUCGAACAUGAAAUUAAAUAAAAAGUUAACUCUUUAAUUCUAAAUUUUUAUCACUGAAUUAUCUACGGCUAAGUUACUCGAUCUCUUUUUUUUUAGUUUAACGUGGGUGUCCGGGCCAGCUUGCACGCACCUCGACUAAUCCCGCGAGCCCUGAAGUUAACGACCAUGUAAGCCUCCAGUGGCCAUCAUAUGAGCAACCACAGGGCUGAAACCUGAGACCACAGAGGAAGCAAAAGUUACUCGAUCUCUUUUUUUUUUGUAGUUUAAUGUGGGUAUUCGGGCUAACUUGCGUGUACCUCAACUAAUCCCACGGGCCCUAAAAUUAACAACAAAAAGUUACUCGAUCUCUUGUUCUGUCAGGUUGUGGUCGUGUUUUCUUGCAAGUUUUGACCCUCGCUCGAUGAUAGUACGUUCACCAGCUGUUGUGUUGACUAUGUUGUUAGAUAAGGACCUCCACAUCAAGAGGUUCUUAUGAACAAAUUAUUUAUUGUGGAGGAGAGCAAUGGUCAAUGAUGCCUGUGGAACUUUCAGAUUCAGUGUUCUCUAGUGAUAAAUCAAGCUUAAAAAAUUCCGAUGAGAUCUAUCGUUACAGAGAGAUUCAACAUUUUUUUUUUUCAUUUUAUACUGUUAGGGUUGAGCUGGAAGUGGGUAUUUUCUAUUCAAGCUUGUUGUGGCAUUUCUUGUCUAAAUAGUGUUUGGAAAUGCGAACGAAGCUGUAUUUUUAAAAAAAUUAAAUUUUUUUAAUUUUUUUAUAUUUUGGAUCGUUUUAAUACGUUGAUUUCAAAAAUAAUUUUUAAAAAUUAAGAAAAUAUUAUUUUAAUAUAUUUCAGCAUGAAACGCACUUUGAAAAAUAACCGCAAUCACACUCUAUUUUAGUUACUUACAAAAAAGAGUCAUCUCCUCGUUGUAGUAUUAUUUAUUUUUCAAUACUUUAACCCAUGCAAGUAUCUUUAAGCAUAGUUAUCAAGUAAAACUUAGUUAAUUUAAUAGAUUAAUAAUUUAUAAUUUAUAAUACAACUAAUUAUUUCAAAUUUAUAAUUAAAUACUAAUAUUUAAGAAAGUAAUUAAAUGGAUGCUUACUUUAUUUUGCUUUCUAUUGACGAUCCUUACUUUAUUUCUACUAGAUUAAAUGGAUCCUUACUUUUACCAAAGGUUCAUUCCUUUAUUUGGCUUGCUAUUCAAAUCUGUAUUUCUACUAGAUCCUUACUUUUUUGCCGCAGAUUAAUUCUUAAGGACGAAGCUUAAUGUCCUUUUUGUGAUAGCGAACUUGAGACUUCAGAUCACCUUCUUCUUCAUUGUCUAGAUGUGUUCAUAAUUAACCAUAGAUUAAAUACAACUAAUUAUUUCAAAUUUAUAAUUAAACAAUCCAAUUAAUAAUUCCGAGCAAAAUCCACGGUGAGAAGUGUUUAGAGAAUUAUGCCAUGAUGAUAUUGGAAUGAAGAAUGUUUAAAGAGCUUAUUAUUUAAAGAUAUCAAGAUUAUUAAAUACAUGGAGAUUCUUGUGGAGAUCAUAUUUGGAGACGUGAAGAAUUUAUUUAGAGGUAUGCAAUUUUUUUUAAAAAGAUACGGAGAUUUUAUCGUAGACAUUGAUAUUUUGUUUGGUGAUGUGGAGAUUUUUGUUAAAAACAUGGAGAUUUUAUUUAGAAAUUUAGAGAUUUUCAUUGGAUAUAUGGAGAUUUCAUUUGAAGAUAUAAAGAUGAGCAAUGUUAUGGAAAAAAAUAUAUGGAGACUACUUGAAGAGUAAUAUUGGUUUGUUUAUUGAAAAGCUCAAAACAUUAUUUUACGCAAGUGGAGAUAUAAUCCUUGGAACCUAUUUUAUCUCAAAUAAUAUAUUUUGGGAUACACCGACCUCUUUUCCUUUUGUUUAGGUUGCAUUUCUUUGUUUAUAAAGUGUUGGAGAUAACAACUAGCGAUCAAUCUUUUUAUUUUUUUAGGAAAUGACAAUUCUCAGUAUCAUACCCGUUGUUAUGGUGAAAAGAAUAAAAUUUGUUAGGGUUUCUUGUGUUCUCAAACAAAUUCAUUUUAUUAAGUACAUUGAAAAUCAUAUCUAAAAUGAAAAUACAUUAGAUCCCCAAAUGAAGGCAUAAGAAUUAUAGAAAACAUUAAAACACGCAGGGAAAAUAUUGUAGCCCCAAACACUAUAACUCCACUCACAUAGUGAAUUGUUUUUCAUUUUGAUCAUCAAACUUUUUAUCUAGACAAUUGCAUCCUUUUAUGGCCAAAUUUAAGGCUAAUUGCUUUAAAUUUAUUAAGAAAGGGCAAGAUUGAAAGAAAGGACACCAAAGUGAGAAAAACAAAGAAAAUAGUUGGCAAUUUUGAAAUUAGGCCGAAAAGUUCACUUUUGUAUUCCUACUUUUUAAAUGAUAAACUUUUGGUCCCUCGAGAUUUUAAAAUUCAAUUAUUGUUCAAAAAUCUAUUUUCUUUAUUUUUUAGUUCUUGGUUUGAGAGGGGUAGAGAGAUUGGGUGAAUUUCGGUGAAAGAGAGAAAGCCUAGUUGACAUUGUUUCUGGCCAAGAAAAAGAUCAAUUUUGGUAUUAACGGGUUUCAUUCGAUGAGGGGAGUUUUACUUAUGUGUUCUUUAUUUUUCCUAUAGCCUGAGAACAUAGAUCUAAGCUUGAAAAUAGUUUUUUUUAUUUCAUGUUGAUUUUGGGUUUUUGAAUUGUUUUUUUGGUUGUUUGAGGUAAUAGAUGGGUUUGCAAAGGUGUAUGGCAGUGUUUUUUAUAUGUUUUGGUUUAAAAUAGGUUAAAAAAUAAAAUUUUUAGGAAAGAAAAUCCAUCGCUUGAUUUUUUAAAGACCCUCGGGUCGCCUAAAAUUAGGCUAAAAGUUGAUGCAUGGUCUACCAUAACACGUGAAAUGUCGUGUACUUAUUCUUUUUCAAAAAUAUUUAGAGUAGACAAGAGGUCGUAUGUCCUUUUAAAAAAAUAAAAGUUAGUCUAAGCUCGCAUGCCUAAGCCUUUUGCUUUUGGUCUAUUGGUUUUUUUUUUUAUCAUUUGUUUUUAUUUUUAAUUUCAUUCUUAAAUAUUAGAUUUUAAUCAAAAAAAUUAUAGGCUAUUUUUUUAAUUUUAACAAGAUUUUAUGAUUUUUUUAAUAAAAUAUGAUUUAGUUUUUAGUUUACGAAUAAGAUUUUAAAAUAUUUUUUUUUAUAUUAAGAGUAUUCUUUAUAUGUAAUCCUAUUUAUUUUUGUUCUUUAAUUAAUUCAGUUGCUUUUCUAUGCAUUUUUUUUUAAUUUUAUUAAAUGAAAAAUGAGUUUAAAUAAAUAAAAUUAUUAAAUAUAAUCAAGUCUAUGACUCGUGUUUUAAAAUCAUAUAUCUACAUCAACAUUUAUCUUUUAUUUUUUUCAAUUUAAUCUUUGAUUAAAUAUCAUUUAGUUUUUAGUUGGUCUUCAGAUAUAAUCAUAAUAUAUAUUUUUUUAAUAUGUACAAACUAACAUCAUUUCUUUUUUUAUUUUAUUCAAUAGUUUAAUUAAAUAAAAAAUUAAUUGUAAAUGGUCACGUAAAUUACUCCGAAAAUAAUUAAGGAUUAUGUGUCCUUAAAUCUACAAUGAAGCCCAAAGUCUUGUUGGGCCAUUCAAACAAUUUUUUUGUUGACCAUUUGGGCUCAAAGAAAAGAGAAGAAGUCAAAUUAAAGUGUCGUCACCCUCCACCAACGGCGCCUGCGACGAAGGGUUUGGUGGUUCCAAUGUAUGGAAUCCCGUGAAAUGCUGACCGGACAUCAUGAGCUGAUCGGCAUUUACCUGUUCUACUUUUUUGCCCUCAUCACUUUGCCGUCGUGGAGGACACUAGUUUUUUUAAAUCAGAACAAUGAUCUAAUUUUCUGAAAGAAUAGAGUUAAAAAAGGAAAAUGAGUGUUUGUUUAAAUAUAAUAUUUUUUCAUUUCAAAAAUUUUAAAACUAGUUUUUUAUUUUUUAAAAUUUAUGCUGGAUUUGAAACAAGAAUUUAAAUAUAGUUUUUAAAUGAAAAACAAAAUAUGAACAGUAUAAUAUUUUCAGUUAGUAGUAUAAAUUUUAAAAUUUUCUUUUUUUUUAUUAAAAAUUUAACAUAAAAGAUUUAUUUUUUUAGUUCAUAUGUUUAACUUUUUUAUGAUGAUUUUUAAUUUGAAUGAAAUGAAAUUAAUAAUUUAUAAUUAGAUUAUCACAAAUACAAAAUAUUAAUAUAACUAUUAUAAAUUUUUAUUUUUAUUUAUUUUAAAAUAGUUGUAAUCAAGAAAGUUUCUUUUUUUUUUUAUGGAAAAUUAUCCAUAGAAAAUAUUAAUAUAACUAUUAUAAACUUAUUUUUAGAAAUUUGAUAGGAAAAAAGAGCAUUUGGAGAAUAAAUAUCAAUGGAUAUUGUACAAUUUAGAAAAAAAACUUAAAGGAUUAAUUUAGUGAUUAAUGAGGUAUACUAUUUUCCUUGAUUUUAAAACUUCAAACCCUAAAGUUAAUUAUCUUGCAAACGGCAACUUAUUCUAUAUCCUAGUAAAAAAAAAAAUAUCAAGAUGAUAAUUAGAUAUAUAGUAGUCUCGAAUAAAUUUACCUUUUUCUUGUAAGAGAAAAGAUAACCUUGAUUUAUUUUUUGGUUGAAAUUGGGGCUAAACGUUCAAUUAAAUUAAACGCGGCAGAGUUGAUCCAAUCAGAUCAUAAUACAAAUACAAUAAAGAUCCACGGAAGAGUCAUUAAGGGAAAUAGAAAAUCUAUCAAAACAACUCCUAAUUAAAUCAUAAUUAGCCAGCUAAUCUGUCACUGAAUUUGCUUGUUUUUGUAGACAUGGUUCACCUGAACAUCCUAAUUUUUUACUAAUAAAUCUAAUAAUUCUCUGCAUGAUUAUAAAAACCUUGGUGAAUAAUUUUUACAUGCACAGAAACAAGAGAAGCCAGUGGAUAUUGGCAUCAUAUAAUGUCUGCGUGUGUUCUGCGUGUGUUCUGAUCGCGUCGAGUUAGACUAUGGAGCCAAGUAUUUUUUAAAAUGUUUUUGAAAUAAUGUUUUUUAAAAUUUAAAAUUUAUUUUUUUUUAAUUUUUUAAUUGAUUUGAUGUGAUAAAUUUAAAAAUAAUUUUUUAAAAAUAUUAUUUUAAUAUAUUUAUGAGUAAAAAUUACUUUGAAAAACAACUAUUAUUAUAUUCUUAAACACGUUCUAAAUAUACCUUCUUUUCAACUAGAAAAAAGGAUUAGAGUGGGUUUAGAUUUGACUAGAUUAUUAACCUGUGCAACAUUGCAAAUCAAGUUAAUUUUUUUUUAAAUAUAAAAAAUAUUUAAAUAUUGCUAAUGUUUUUUUUACUAGUGGAAAAAAAAUUUAAAAUCAUGUGGGGAUUGACCUGGUAUAAUUUGGUUAACUUUACAAGUCUAAAACAACUCGGACGACUCGUAAAAAUAUAAUUUGACUAAAAACAAUCAAAAUGACAUCUUUUUUUAAUAUUAAGAUAACAAUAUAUCGGAUUGAUUUAGAUCAACCCGGGUUAAUAUAUUAAAUCCAUUAUCUGGGUUACAAGACUAUGAUAACCUCAUAAAAAACAAAUAAAAAAAAAUUAUGAAAUUUAAUUCUCAAUCAAUUUAAUGUUGAAGGAUUAAAUUAAAAAAAAUCAAUUAAAAAAUAAUCUAAAAAAGUCAUUUUUGAUUGUUUUUUUUACUAGUGCAUGAUUCCCACAAGCCACCAUUGCUUAAUCUAGUUCCAACAGCUUCUACAACAGCUUCUACUUGAUGUUAACAACUUUCUAAAGUCAUUUUUGCACCUUGAAUAAAUUAGUGCUUGUUUUGAAUAAUUCUCUAUGUAUUAUUAAAUUCUAUAUGAAAUACAUGGAAUUCUUGAAGUUUUGGGGUUCACGUCGUUGUGUGGUGACCCUGGGUAUGAAAUGAAUUAACUGAUAUGUAACAGUUUAGUCUUAGUGUGAUAUAUAUAUAUAUAUAUAUAUAUAUAUAUAUAUAUAUAUAUAUAUAUAUAUAUAUAUAUAUAUAUAUAGUUUAGUCAUGUGUGUGUGAAUAAUUUAUUAUUUCUGUGAUUUGGUGUGAUUCGUAUAUCCUAAUUAGGUUUUUCCUCUAAUAUCGUAUUAAGGAUAAAUAAACUCUUGUGUAUAAAUAUUGAUACCACUGUAUAUUUUUUUAUGUUUCUUACUUUUUUUAAUUAUUUGUUUUUUUCUCUCGUAACUCAAGAUUGACAUAGAAAUUAUAAAUCCUAAUUAGGUUUUGUUAGUAUGCAUGCAACCAAUCAUCUAAUGUUUUGAUGAUAAAAAAUAUUAUUAAUGUUUUAUGAUCUUGAUAUGUGAUCGAUUUAAUAUAUGUUUAUGUAUGGUAUCAAAUUUUGAUGAUAAUAUAAUAUGUGACUGAUAUUGUUUAAUGUAUAUGUUUUACAUUGAUGUUUUAAACUAACAUAAAUUAGUGAUGUUUUGAUUGACUUUAUUCGUUGUAUUGAAACAUAAUGUAUAUGUUUUACAUUGAUGUCUAUAUGAAACAUGCAUUAGCGCUUGAGUAAAAUGAUGAUUAAAUACAAUGUCGAGGUAUAUGUAAGAGUUAGGAUAAAUAGUUUUACUUGCAUUGUAUGUUGCAUAAGAUUUGUGAUGAUUUAGACAUGUUUCAAGAGAAUGAAAUCAUUCAAGGAAAUCAUCAAAGAAGCAAAGCAUAGAUGCAUGAAGUGACUUUCAUACCUAAAAAACCUAAUUAAACUCAAAUAAGAAUCUUGAUGUAAUAACGACUUUCAACUUUAAAAAUCAAGAUCUUAUAAAGAGAGUUUUUUAAAUAACUUUCAAUUUGUUUAGGAAUCAACUUUCAUACCCAAAAAACCUAAAUAAACUCAAAAGGACACAAGAACAAAGAAAAGACUGAAACACACAAAACAAGAGAAAAGUUAUAGUAGCUACAUCAGUCUGACCAAUUUGGAGAAAUAACUAGUUGUUUCUAAAAAAAAUCAACUGGUUUAUGGAAAUUUCAAAUUUUGUUCAAGUUUUUUAAAAUGAUCCAACCAAUUUUGAUAAUGGUCUAAUUGAUUCUUCAAUGGGCAUAAAUAUUUUGGAAGUUAUUUCUAAUGACUAGUUUGAUCUUUAAGCCCUAUAAAUACACUUUUCUUCAACAAAAUUAUCAAAAACAUCAAAGAAAAAAUUAUAAUCAUAUCUUUAUUCAUAUACAACCUCUUACAACCUUUUUUUUAAUUAAAAACACUUGAGAAAGCCUUUAAAAGGCUAUUUGAGUGGUUUAAUACUUGUCCAUCUACAAAUGUUAUUGAGAAAGGUUUCAAUCUUUGACAUUUGAAAAAGAUUGUGUAAAUAUUUAAUCCUUAGCCUAUGCAAAAGGACUAAGUUUGAUCUUGAGCCUAUAAAAAAAUUAGGUUAGAUCCUAAACCCAUAAAAGAAUUGAGAAAGGUUUCAAUCUUGACCCUGUAAAACUAUUGUGAUAGGUUUGAUCUUAAGCUUGUAAAAAGAUUGAGUUUGAUCUUGAGUUCGCAGAACGAUUGGGUUAAACCCUAAACCCAAAAAAAGACUCGAGAAGGUGUUCAAUCUUUCACCUGUGAAAAAUACUGUGUAAAGGUUUGGUCUCACCCGUUAAGAAGAUUGUGUGUGAUAGUAAACUCUUGAAUGGUGAUUCAAGGAGAGGAGUAGAUGAUUACUCGAACCUCUGUAAAAAUCUCGGUACACACUCUCUUAACUUCAUCUCCUUACUUAUUAUGUUGAUUAUUUUGGUGCAUAUUUAAUUUUAUUUCUAUUAUUGUUUCAGCUUAUUUGUAUUAAUCAUUAGGUUGUGUUAUAUAUAUUGUUUUAAAUUAAGAAAAGGCUUUUUAAUUGGCAACCUAAUUCGCCUCCUUUAGGGUUUACCUAGACUUUCAGGUUUUUCCUUCAAUGUCACAUUAAGGAUAAAUACGAACGUGUAUGUAAAUAUCACUGUUUAUAUAUGUUUUUGUAUUUUUUUUCCUUUUUCAAUGAUUAUAUUCUUAUAAUCACUCAAAAUCAGCUCAGAAAUUGUAAAUUUCAAUUAGGUGUUUCCUCAGAUGACACGUUAAGGGUAAGCGAGUUUAUAUCCAUGAUUAUUAUGUAAGAAUCUAUUUUGUGUUUUUGGUCAUCUUCCUGAUAUUAUAAGUGAAUUUAGGUUGGAUUGACACGAUCUGACAUAGACUUAUAGAAAGUGAGUAGAGACCUCGAAUCCAUUAUUGGAUAUGAACAAUUAGAAUGGGCCUAAACCCAAUAAUCCAUUAUUAUCCUCUCGGGUUCUAUAUCUCAGAAAAUAAGAUUAGGCCCUGUUGUAGGGACUAGGUCCGAAAUCAUUACCUUAGAUUUUAGUAGUCGUAUACCUUUAAACAACAAGAGCAUCUAUAACUUAGACAAGCUUUUAGUACAUAUGCAUAAUAGGUACUUUUAUAAUUAAAAAUAAACACAUAGCAUCUUACUUUAGAUAAGAUUCUUUGGGGUGGUUUUCAUAUUAUUUUUAGCAUAAUUAACCCCUUACCUAGAUUCUCUUAAGAUCAAUUGGGGUUUUUGGUUACCAUAAACUAGGUGGUGACUUUUUUUUCUAAUUUUAUCUCUAUCAGUCCUCAUCAACUCGUCAAGAUAUCCCCUGUGACACUCUAAAAAUAUAUCACAUGUUUUUCAAUGAUUAAUUCACGAAGCCAACUUAAAAAAAUCUUAAGGAAAAAAAAAACAUCUUAGAAUUAGCUAGAAAAAGUAGCAAAUUUUAGUGCUUUUGUAAAGUGUUUAAUAUUUAAGAUGUACAAUGUAAUUCAUGAUCAGUGAUUAAAAAAUCAAGAAAUUAGUGUUAAUAAUUAAUAAUAAAUAGAAUAAGAAAGCUUUUUUAUUAUGAUAUAUAUUGAAUUGAUCUUUAUAUAAAGAUCUAAGACUAUUUUAAUUCUUUUAUAAUGUAGUACUAGAUCUUUGUCCCACACUAUGUUGUAGGUCGAAUCAAAUGUUUUUUUUCGAGAAAAGGUAAGAAGGCGUUGCUAAUAUGUUUUCUAGUUAAAAUAGUUAAUCAUGAACUCAAAAUUCAAUGCAUAGUAGAUGACACUUUUUGAAAUACCAAGAAGGUGACAUACUGGACAAUAUUUUUUAAAAAUUAUUUUUGAGACAACGAUAUAUUGAAUCGACUUGAGCCAACCCUAGUUAACCCAUAAAAUUAAUGACCUGAGGAUGAAACCCUAAUAACCCUAUGAAAAGCAAACCAAAAUAAAUCACAAAACUCAAUUCUUAAUCAACCUAAUGUUAAAGGGAGAAGUUAAAAAAAAGAUAAAAAAAACAUCUCGAGUCACCUAGGUAAACUUGUGAAACUAACGAUCUAGGUCCUGAUAAUGAGAUAACCUCAUGGAAAGAAAAACAAAUUAUAAAGUCAACUUCUAACCAACCCAAUAUUGAAAGAUAAAAUAAAAUAAAAAAUUCAAUUAAACAAAGAAUAAAAAAAAUCCAAGCCAAACCCAACCUAUAUCAACCCGGGUUUACUUGUCAAACCUGUUAUAAGAUUGAGAUCACCCAUAUAAAACAAAUUAAAAAAAAUUAUGAAAACUAAUUCUCACCUGACCCAAUAUUGAAGGAUGAAAUUGAAAAAUAAAAAUAAAAAGAGGACAAAAAAAUAGCAAUAAAAAGAAUAGGGACCAAAUUUGACAUUAAAAAAAUCUUACAUACCACUAGGCAUGUAAACCGGGAAAAGAAGGGAGGAGAAAGGAAAAAAGAAAGGGCGUCAGAGCUACACUAAACUAUCAUCACCGCCACACGCCGCCUCAUGAGGAAGCCGCCUCCGAGACAAUUUCAAAGACAGCAAGGAAGGCUACCGUUGGAUCCUAAAGGAAGCCACGCGCACCACCACAUCCCGUCAACAUGCUUCACUCUUGCCAUCCAACCUCCAUUUUAGUCCUUAGCUUAAAAAAAAAAGGUCUAAAAUCCAAUCUCUAAAGAUUCAAUUAUUUCAAAUCAAUAAAAUUACAUUUUGUUUUAUUAAACUAAGCACCAGCUGAUCUUCAAAUUUAUUUCCCCAACAUCGCGAGAACUCAAUACCAAACCAGCCAAAAUAAACCAUCAUGAACCCUGAGGGGUAGCUUAAUUGGUCAGACUUUGGGCUUGCUCCCCAAUGAUCACGAAUUUGAAUCCUAUCAGGGUCACUGAAGGCUUACAUGGUCGUUAACUUUAGAGUCCGUGGGACUAAUUGAGAUGCGCGCAAGCUGGCCCGGACACCUAUAUUAAUAAAAAAACAAAAAAAAAACUAUCAUGUCUAAUUUCACAUUAACUUAAUGUUAAAAGAUAAAAUUGAAGAGAGAGAUGGUGCUUUAGUUUCUUUAUAAUAUUAAUAUUAUAUGUCAAAACGUGAAAAGUGGUUUGAAUCUGUAACUUCUGCGAAAGUAUGAUAAACUCAUUAUCAUUGAGCUCUCCCGGACUGUUUCGUAGCAUGGUAUAAAAUUAAUGUUAACUUGUCCCGAAUGAAACAAUAGAGAGAAAACAGGAAGAAGGUAACAAAUAUUCCAAGCACCAUGAAAAUUGGCAAUUGCCAGUGUGGGAGAAGAUUCUUCUCCACCGAAGGAACCUGCUUGUGAUGCUUGUUCUAUAUUGGAAAAAUACAACUGCCAAGUGAUGACAGAAGAUAAAGAAGAACCUCAGGCCCCCAUAAAAGCUAUGUCACGGAUUCAACUCAGCAGCUUCAGAGAAAUAUUGCAUUGCAAAGGAAAGCGGUUUCACAAGUGAAUAAUCCCAACUCAGCCAUGAGUAGCUAAUGUUCUUUCCUCUUGGUUGCAAAGAAUGAGAUCCUUUCUUAGAUGGAAGAUUGAUCAGUUGCAUAAGUUCUAUGCAUUAUAUAUAUAUAUAUAUAUAUAUAUAUAUAUAUAUUGUUUCAUAGCAUGGGAAUUAGAUUAUUGACUUGCAAUAAGUUGUAGCAAAGAUAAAAAAUAUUAAUGUAAAGAAAAUAUCUAGGUGUUGCUAAUGUUUUUUUUUUAAUUUUAAAAAAUGUAAACUAUAUGGGGAUUUAUUCGAUGUGACUCGGUUGCCUUGACGAGUCCAAAUGCAACCUGAAUGACAGGCAAAAAUAUAGUUUGACUCGAAAUAAAUAUUUAAGUGUGUGUGUGUAUUCUCUCGGCCUGUUUCAUAGCAUGAGAAUUAGAUGAUACUGGAUUAUUGACCUGCGCUACGCUAUAGAUCGGAUAAAAAUAUUAAUGUAAAGAAAAUAUCUAAAUGUUGCUAAUGUUUUUUCCAAUUUUAAAAAAUGUAAACUAUGUGGGGAUUUAUUCGAUGUGACUCGGUCACCUUGACGAGUUCAAUGCAACCUAAAUGAUAGGUAAAAAUAUACUUUGACUCGAAAUAAAUAUUUAAGAUGAGAUUCUUUUAAUAAACAUUAGAACGACAACAUGUUGGAUUGAUUCGGAUCAACUUAAGUUAACUUGCUAGUUCGCAUACCAAGUCAUGAAAUCAUGAUAACCUCAUAAAAAAUAAAUUAAAAUAAAUUACGAAACUUAAUUUCCAACAAACUUAAUGUUGAAUGAAGAAAUUAAAAAAAAAAAAUUAAAAAAACACAAAAAAGAUAACCCGAGUCAAUUUGUAUUAACCUGCCAAACAUGUGACCCAAAUUAUGAGACCAUGAUAACCUAAUAGAAAGCAAAUAGAAAUAAAUUAUGAAACUCAAUUCUUAAUCAACUCAGUGUUGAAAGAUAAAAUUUAAAAAUAAAAUAAAAUAAAAAGAUAAAAAAGCGACUCGAGUCAACCAAAGUUAACCCGCCAAACCCAUGACCAAAAUCAUGAGAUGAGGAUAACCUCAUAGAAAGCAGAUCAAAAUAAAUUAUGUAGUUUAAUUCUCAAUCAAUCCAAUGUUGAAGAAUAAAAUUGAAAAAAUAAUAAUUAGAAAAAUAAGAAAAAAAACUUGAGUUAAUCUGUUAUACCCACAGUCCGGAUUUAAGAUAGCCUCAUAAAAAAUAAAUUAAAAAUAAGUUAUAAAGUCUAUUCCUCAAUAAAUUUAAUGUUAAAGGAUAAAAUUAAAAUUAAAAAAAUAUAAAUUAGAAAAAAAAACACAUUAUUUUAAUAAAUAGUAUUAUAUAAGGAGAGGUAUAGUAAAAAUCCUCUCCUUUAGUUUUUUGUUAUUAAGCCAAUUACCAUCAUUAUGCUACGGAUGAGAUUUGAAGUUAUUUUUUUAACGAAAUAGAAAAGUAUGCUAAUAUUAUGAAUAUGUUUUUUUACAUUAUGUAAAGUUUUCAUUCAAAAUUAGAAAGUUGAUGUGUGCGUGCUUAAUGGAAUAAAAUAAAAAUUAUACAAACUAAUAAAUCAUUAAAAAAAUUGUGGGAAGCUUAAAGAUAGGUGCAUCCAAUAAUAUUUGUUCCAUGAUGUGGAGCACUCUUUAAAUCUUUCUUUUAUUUAAUUAUAUGGUAAUAAAAAUAGAUUUUCAUCAUAAAUAUAAUAAUUUAUAUUUUGUAAAAGAAAUAAUUGUCAGUAAAAUUUCUUUUUUUAUUAAUUUAUAAUUUUUAAUAAAAAAUAUACACUACUAGAAUUUGAAAAAUACCAACGAAAUAUUCCAUUAAUAUUUAGAAAAAAACUCCAUCAUUAUUAGAAUUAUUGAUGAAAUAUUUCCAGUAAAAAUAUUUUAUCGACAAGUAUAUCAUCGAGGAUUUACCUUUUAUCGACAACUUUCAAUUGAGACAAAAAUAUCAAUGAAAUAUUAUUCUAACAUGGUGACAAACUUUUAGCUAAAGAAUGCGAAGGUCUUUCCUCAUGUAAACCUCUCACCGUAAAAUUCAAGAACACCAACAAUGAUAGAAUCAAACUCACCCCACCCACCACAACUUUUUCCUUAUGGACAAAGCCAUAUAGAUCCUAAAAUAGUCUAAAAGGACAUGAAACAACCUACUCCACCACCGCAAAUGUUAAUUCAAACCAUCAACACAAGUUAAUUACUAAAAAAAUAGUUUGCAUGAGAUAAACAAGAUAAAGCAACAACAAUGCAAGGUCCUAAAAUAGUUGUCAAAUUUUCUCGGUAACCAAACAGGAAAAAAAUCAGAAAAAGAAGAUAAACAAACAAAACCAUUACCUAAAUCAUGACACGAAAAUGUUAGAGAGUAGGGGAAAAUAUAGGGGACAUGGGAAAAUUAGGGAUUUCAAUCAAAAGAAGAAGAAGAAGAAGAAGAAGAAGAAAAUGAGGGAGUAUAGGUGUUACUUCAUUUUAAAAUCAUUGAUGGAAUUUCUAUUGGCAAUUUUAUAGGCAAUAUGACAUGUCAUUAAUGCAAAUAAAAAUACUAAUAGAAUAUUUUUUAUUGGUAUUUUUAUUAUUAUUUGUUAAUUUUCUGGUAAUGAUAUCUUUCUAUGGUUAUUUUGUUUAUUGUAUAGAAAUUAUAAGCAAUUAAAAUCAAGAUCCAAAAAUAAUUUAUAACAAUAUGAAAUAAGUCUACAAAAUUUAUUUCUUUAAUGAAAACUUCUUUCACUUAUUCAUUGUGUUCUUUUUUUUUUACAAGAUAUUUUUUAUUAUAAGCUUUAUUUUUCAAAUAAAAGUUUAUUAUAAUCUUAGAAGCAAGUAUUAUUAAAACCAAACAAUAAAAUAAUGAAUUGAUAAUUUUGACAUAUAUUAAAAAACAUAACAACAGUAAUGUUGAGAUAAAUUAUAUAGAAUUUUACAUCAAAAAUUAAAAAUAUAUAUUGUAUGUGCGUAUAGAAAAUUAUCCAUUUAGGUUCAUACAUAAUUAUUUAUAAAAUAAUAUUAUCAUGAAUAACACUAAUAUCAUUUUAGAAGAAUGUUUAUCUAAACAUCAUUUAAAUAAAUUCAUUUAAAAAUAAUUCAAUUAAAAAAUAUGAAAUAAAAAAAAUGAAGGGUCAUACAUUCAUGUGCAAGACAUGCGUGAAUAGCAUAAAUAAAACCCACAUGGCCUUGGAAAACCAGGCUCGGGUGCUCGGUUUAUAUUUUUUUGACAAUUUUCAAUUUUCUCUCUCCAAUAUGGCUUAAAUCUGGCCACCCAAAAGCUUCCUCUCUCCUCAAAAGUUUUUGACAAUUUUCUCUCAUCUCUCAAGAUUUAGCCAUUAAAAUGUAAAAUAAAUAAAAUUUGAAACUAAAAAGAAAAAUUCAAAAAUAAAAUGUUUUAAAAUAAAAAAAAAUUAAAAUUGAGGGAAUAAAGUAUAGAUUUAUGUGCUUUUUGAACAAUAAACACGGAAAAAGCUAUUAGUUAUUAAAAAUAUAAAACUGAACCAAAACCGGUUCAAACCAACCAGUUUCGGUUCGGUUUUUUAGAACAAAAACUGGUUCAAACCGGUUUGGCUCGGUUUUUCUGGUUUGGCUUGGUUUUUUCCGAUUUGGCCCGAUUUUUUUCGGUUUGGGUUCGGUUCGGUUUUUUCAGUUUCAGACUUAUAAAACUGAAACGAACCGGUCGGUUUUUUUAAAAUUCUAAUCGGUUUAAUCUGUUUUUUUCACGGUUCAAUUUUUUCGGUUAUUUUUUUUUCCGGUUUUCUCGGUUUAAUUGAUUUUUUAAUUUUUUUGCUUACCCCUAGUAAUAUAUAAAAAGUUAAAAAAUAGAGAUGAAUUGUACAAGAGAAAUAAUAAUUAAUUUAUUAACAAUAAUUUAUGAAACGAAAUAAAAACUAUUUGUUAUGUGUUUUGAGACAAAAAAAAAAUAGAUAAAAUGAAAAAAAAAUAUUGCGUAAAGAUUAAACUUUACUUUUCAAAAAAAUUACUCCUUUAAUAAUUCACAUUUUCUGAUAAAUGAAAUCAAACAAGCUAAAAUCCCACAACACUAUUGUUACUUUAAUUGUAGUCCCUUCAUGCUCUAAAAAGUAAAUAUAUAAAGUUUGUGGUUAGAUUAGGACAUGUACUUGAUGAAUUAUCUUUAAUUGCACAAUUAUUAAGUAAUUAAGCUAAUUUUCUCAACAAAAUAAGUAAAUAUAUUCAACAAUUUGUAAUACUUUUCCUUUUAAGUAUUUCCAGCAAGCACUGAAUUUUUAAUUAUUUUUUUUCCAUUGAUGCUGUUUUUUAUAUGUUUGGAAUUGUGGUAUAAAAUGUUUUUAAAAAUAGUUUUUUUCUUGAAAAUAUAUUAAAAUUAAUUUUUGAAUUAGUCUAAUUUAAUUUCAGAAAUGACCCAUAAAUAUAUUUAUAUUUAGUAGAACAAGCUUCAUGACAAAAUAAAAAAAAAUCAAAUUACUCUAAUUUGAAUAUAAGAAGUGUAAUAUCUAUCCAAAACAAGUUAUAUUCCAAAGCAUCAGCUUUUUGAUGAUGUCAUGGAAAGAGAUCAUGCAACGAGUGAAGGAGCGUGGAUUACACUUCUUGUGAGGGAGGGUGGGAUUGUUCAAGUCCUAUCUUUGACGACGAGAAAUAUAUAAAUAAACCAAUAAAAAGAAAAUCAAAAUGCCCUUUGCCACCUAAAAGGGAAUCCAAGGACUGCCGUCCCUCAUAGUCCCUAAAAAUAUCGACUUUUACUCGUUUCGCGAUAUCAUCAAUAUAUGGAGACAGCACAUUUUCGUGGAUUAAUUAUAAUUUAAAAAUUGUUAUAAUCAUAGUUUUUAAAGCCGGUCUAGUAACUAAUACGGUUCAAAGUCCGGGUUUUGACCGGAUCAUCAAGUUUUAAUCGGGUUACUGGAUUGGCUGGGUUAAUUUUUAUUUUAAAAAAAUUCAAAAUGGCGUCGUUUUAGUAAAAAAAAGUCAACGGGCUGCAACCGAGUUUUAUCGGGUCAACCCGCCGGGUCGACCGGGUCAUAACUUUUCCUAUUUUUUCUUUAACCUGACCCGGUUCUAGCUCCGGAUCUUGAAUCAACCCGCCAGACCAGGCCGAGUUUUAAAAUUAUGAUUCAAAUGAAAUAAUAAUUGGUCUGUUAAAUAAUAAUAAUAAUAGGUGGUAUCCUAGUGUUAGUUUCAGGGUUUAAUGACAAUAUUCAAGCCGUAUCAAUUUUUAAUAAAGAUAUCCUUCAUUGUUUACCUACUACUAUAAUUAUUAUUGAAAAAACUGGAAGGCAUUAGAAAAACACAGUUUCUUGUGUGUUUCAAUCUUUUCUUUAUUGCAUUGUAUAAUUAUAUAUAUAUAUAUAUAUAUAUAUAUAUAUAUAUAUAUAUAUAUUAAUUUUUUUAUUUUUUACACCAAUAUAUAAAAAAGACUCAAAAAAUAUAAAAAGAUUUAAUUUGAAUCUUGAAAAAAUAAUUUUUUUAAAAAAAUAUAGUUGGACCGCAAUACUAGACACCACUUAGUUUAUUUAGAAUUAAACUUUAUAUUUUGUUUCGGUGAACUUUGUAAGGAUUAUUUUUUGCAAUGUUCAAAAUAGAUUCCGGCAUUAAAUUGAUGCUUGAUUUGAUAAAAUUAUUAUUUUAAUCAAAUAUAAUUAGAACUUUGGGGACCAAAAUUGAAGCUGGAGUAUUCUGUUUAAUGUUUGUUAAAAAAUAUACUAAUAUUUAAAAGGUAAAGAAAUAUUUUUAAAUAAAUUUAUAAAAAAAUAAAAAGUAAAAAAAUCAUCAAGUCACUAGACUCUUGUUUCAGAACCCAACACUAACUCAACAAACAUCCACCAACAAUAAAUAACUUGUGAAUAAUCUUAGAAAAUAAUUUAGACAAGUAAAUAAUAUGUGUAAAAUAAAUUUAGAAGAAAAUAUAUAACAAAAGUAAACUUUUGUUUGAAAAAAUACAAUAAUGAUGAUUUCUAUCUUUCCUUGAGCAUAGUCAAUCAUUUACUUUAAUUUUUGAAACUAUUAUAUAUUUUAAGAUUAUUCUAUUUAAAGAACUAGAUGAUGACUAUAUUUUCUAUAUAUUAUUUUUAAUUUUUGAAUGUAUUAUAUUUAUAUUAGACGCAACAAGUAUAAACAAUAUUUAAUAAUUGAUUAUUAUACUUUUAAAGAAUUGCAUAUUGCUUGAGAAAAUGAUUGAUCUGAGUGUAAAUUGCUUAGUUUUUUUGUUGUUGUUAAAAAUAGGCCAUGCAUUGUUUUGUUUUGUUAAAAAAAUAAAGAAGUUUCCUUUUAUAUUUUCAUAUGUUUGCUCUGUUUUGCCAAAAAAAACAAGUAAAAAUGACUGGGUUUUAAAAGCAUAACAAUAUCAAACAAAAACUAUGAUUUAUUAAAUUUGAUGAAUACAAAGUUUAUCUAUCUAAAAUGUCCCCGGUAAAAAAAAAUAGCUUGAAUAAAAGUUAAUUCUUUAUUUUCUUACAAACAACAUUCUUAUUUUUCUUACCACCAUAUACAUUUACUAUAUUAGAUUCCAUGAUGAUGAAUCAGUGCAUUCCAUGCUGAAAUCCAUUUUCUUUUAAGGCACAUGAUUAGAGAGAUCAAAAGAAAAAAGACCCAAUAUAAAAACUUAACAAAAGUUAAAACAUGUGAAAAGAGGGUAGGAGAAGAUAUCAGAUUCAAUAUCAUUGGACUCGGCUAUGCGUCCAACCCAAACGCUCAUGAGUCUAGUAAAAUACUAGGUUUGAACAUCCUUGGACCUAGGAUUACUUCAGAUCCAAGCAUCCAUAGUGGGAAUCUAGGAUUAUUAUAUCCCUACACCCUAACUACGCAAAAAGUCAUUUAAGAGUCGUUUAUACAUCAAUCAAUUUUAAUGUUGAUUAUAAGGGUUGAUUUCAUCUACAUUAAAUAUUGUAUACAUAAUGAUAUAGGACCGCUUUCUAUAGACAUAUGGUACUCCCAUCAAUAUUAAUGUUGUGUAAGGAAACACUUACAUCAAUAUUAAUGUUGAUGUAAUGGUUUCCCUCCCUACCUGGAUGUGAAGAGAAAAAAAGAUCUAUGACCCCUCAAAUAAGAGGAAGAAAGUUCAAGGUACAAAAAUUAUAAAUACUCUCUAAACAACCAAGAUAAAUGGUUCCCAAUCUCCAAUCUCUUGUAACAUAUUAUCAAUAUUUAUCAUACAUGAAUUAAAAAAAAAUCUUAUUUUUAGAAUUUAAUACUCAUUUAUUAUAAAAUUGUUUUUAUAAAAAAUCAUUGAAUUAAUCAUCGAAGGGUCUCUGUAAGUCCAAACCUUUGUCACCAAUCUUGUGUGCUCCGAGUUAUAAAAAAUAAAAGAUUUUAUACUGUGUUUUGAAAAAUUAGUCGAAGUGCAUGUAAACUAACCCGCAUACCCAUAAUUAAUAAAAUAAAAAUAAAUAAAUAAAUAAAUAAAUAAAUGCAACAGUCACACAUACAAACAAUUCAUUAAAAAAAUAUUAAUCGGAAAGGUUAGUUUCAGGGCAUAAAUUGUGUUACAUAAAAUUAUGAUUUUUUUUAAAUUAUAUAUAUAUUUUUAAUGUAUUUGGAUUGUUUUAAUAUUAAAAAUAAAAUUUAAAAAAUAAAAAAUAUUAUAUAUCGAUAUAUAAACUUUUUAAAAAAUUGACCGGCAAUUCAAAAUAUCGAGGAGCAAGCAAGAAAUGAGAAGAGAAAUUGAAAGUAGACAUGACACCACUACAGCCCACCCCCAGUCAAGAGAAGAAAGAGCAGGAGACUAAUAAAAUAGACUGAGACUAUACGCCACACUGACACCCACACCCUAACCCCUACCUUUUCCCUUCUCCCUCCACAGCCAUUACAAAUACUACCCAACCCCCCCUCCCGUUCUGUCUUUCUCUAGUAAUUAACCCCACCCGCUUCCCCUUUUCAUCUCCCUCUUCCUUUCUAUCUCCCUACAUGAGAGAGAGGUAGAGACGGGUAUAGUUUUCAAGAGAUGGGCAAGUAUAUGAGGAAGGCUAAAACGACAAAUGAUUUAACCGUGGUCGACUUGAGUUGUGGUGUCCGUACCCGAGCCAAAACCCUAGCUCUCAAGAAACAACAAGCCCUCAGAUUGCAUGCUUCCUCUGCCUCUCCUCCUCCCCCCUCGUCUCCCGCCGGCUACCUCCAGCUUCGCAGCCGCCGUCUUGAGAAGAAACCACCUCCAGUUCCAUCAUUGCAUCAUGGCUCCCCGCGAAGGCAGCAGCAGAGACUGGGUGGUCAGAACAAUAACAAAUUGGGGCAGCAAGAAAGCCCUAGCCCUAUUUUGAAACCGAGUUCGCGGGUGGAUAAAGAUUCCGGGUCGAGUCAAGAGAGAGAAGGGGGGGAGAGUAAAGAGGUUGAAGAGAAUAAUAACAGCAAUAGUAAAGACUUGGGUUCUUUUGGAGAUAAUGUUUUGGACAUUGAAAGUAGAGAUAGGUGGGUUUUCGUACUUUUCUUUAAUUUCUUGAGAAGUUUGAAAUGCUUUCCUUUUUCUUUAUUAUAGGGUUUUUUUUGUUGUUGAAAUUCCGAGUAAUGGUAAAAUGGGGGGACGUUGAAGAAGUGUAUGCGUCUGCCUUUUCUUUUCUUAAAAAAAUUGCUUUUGGAAAAAUUCGGGGCUUUUCUUUUUUCUUUUUGGUGUUUAAUUUUAGGGCUUUCCUGUUUGGUUGAUAAGUUAAUGGAAGGAAAGAGGGGUAAUCGAGGUGGGUUUUCAUUUUUUUAUUUUUAAAAUCGGGUAUAGUUUGGGGAUGGGGAAAUUUGUGUAUUAGUGUUUGAUUGCUGAGAAAAUGAGAGAGAGAGAUGAAAAAUAGAAAAGUCGUGUGUUUCUUGGGGGUUUGAAUGAGUUUUUCCAUGCCUGUGCUUUGUUAAUUGCUGAGAGUGAAAGAGAAGAAUCGUGACAUGUUAAAGCCUCAAUUUAACUUCGUUCCUGUUUUGGGUUUGUCUCCCUCUUUUCUGGCUGUGUGAACUUUUUAAGGUUUUCUUUCAUCUAUUUGGUUUAGUUUAAAGCUUUAGUUGUAAUAUUGGGGGCUUGAGAAGACUAUAAUUUGCAUUUGAAGAGGAAUUGUGGCAGCCUUUUGGGUGGUUAAGCUGUAACUUAAGCUUCAUUUCUGUUAAAACAAAACUCGUAGCUAUAAAGAAGAGAAUUAAAAUUUAUUUCAUUCCAUCCCCAAUAAUUGCUUGACAUAAAUAAGAGAUUUUCUGCUUUACAUAUAGAUAGUUGGAGUUUUUUCCUUUUUAAAAUAAGAACAAAUUGUGGUGGAAUCUUUUUCUGAAGCCUUACCUUUUAUAUUUUAAAGUGAUUUUCUUUAUAAGAAUUUUGCUUCCCUUUCUGUUUGGUUUCUGAGAAAAUGCGGUGUUGAGAAGAAAUUUAAGAUGUUGGAUAUACCUCAAGACUCUUAGUACUCUAGACCCAUGAAACUAAAACCACGCUACCAAUUUCUCUAAUUCUCUUUCAAGUGCUUUAAACAUCUUCCUUCAUGUGUAGUUUUUUUUUCUUCACUGAAGUGUGAUUUGCAUCUAGGGGAAUUAAUGCCCUAACUUUGUUUCGUGGUUUUAAUGAAUUAUUAACCAUCUUCAUGGAUAACAGGAUUCGUAUGACUUCAUUGCAUUUUGCAGGUCUCUGAUUAAAAAUUCCAUGAUUUUGUCUGCCUAUCUGUUUACUGCACUUUACACUGAACAUGCUUUACAGUUCUUGCUAGUUGCUGUUACUUCAAUUUGGUUGUUACUAUGCAGGCCCUUAUUAUAUGUGUAUCAAAACAAAAUAGUUUAACUUGUGUCCUCUUCUUGUAGUGCUCUCAGACAUGGAUGCCAUUGCAUUAUUUUAAUCAAAAGAAACAAAGCUGUUCCAUUGGUUCUUCCAACAACAAAUGCCUCUGCAUUUUUUAAGCAAUAUUAUUAUUGUUUGGUGUUUUUAUUUUGAACAUAAAUAUGCUUAGUGUGUGUUUGUCUUGUUAUAAGACUUGGUUUUUAUCUAUGCUUGGACACAGGAUGCUCUAACAGAAACUCUGAUUUGAUUCAAAGCCUAAAGAAUGUUUCUGUCUUAUUUGCUUCAUGUAAUGAGGAUGGGAUAUCUAAAGUGGUUUUCUACUCCUUCCUUGAUCCUUUGGUGCUUGUUACUAUCCUCUACAUAUACGAAAAUUGAAUAUGGGAAAUACAAGACCUCAUUUUGGGUAUUUUCUGUUGUAAUUCCCGAAAUUUGUGAAGUUUAUUUCUUAGUAUUUUGUUGCUUGAGGUACAUCAUAGUAAAAAAUGGUUUGUUGCUUUAUGUGGUGGUUCGAAUAUUUCUAGCGUUUUAAGCGAUUGGUUAUUUUUAUGAUUGGGAGGUUCCUGGCACCCUUUGCAGAAUGUACGUGGCCUGCAAUGUGUUAAUGGCUUGGAAAAUCUUAAGUUUUCAAUUGUUUACAUGCUGACACGAUUUAUGUCUCCUUUUUAAUGUUAUUUGCAUGCGACUUACAUCAUCAUGCGCAGCAGUUGUUUCUCCUCAUUUCAUUAUGCUAUAUGUUAUUUUCCCUUAGGAUACAUAUUCACUGUGCCCAUGUCAUUUUUAUCUUCUUUGUCACAGGAGCACUAGGGAAUCCACUCCUUGCAAUUUAACAAGAGGCACAGAAGACACAAGAACCCCUGGUUCUACUACUAAGCCUGCUAGCCCAACUGAAAGUAGCCGGAGAUUACAGAACUCAAUGCAAAGACGCAUCCCAACAACCCGUGAAAUGGAUGAGUUCUUUGGCCCAGCUGAAGAAGAGCAGCUAAGGCAAUUCACUGAGAAGUAUGUGCCUCCCAUCUAUUUGCUUAUCUCAUUUGAAUGAUUGCUUAGGAUCUUUGGACUAUCUUGUAAUGUUUCUGCUGCGAAGUUUACAUCCUCUUAGCUGAUAGAAAUGCUGAUUUUUGGCAGGUAUAACUUUGACCCUGUUAGUGACAAGCCGCUCCCUGGACGUUAUGAAUGGGAGAAAUUGGAUCCCUAGAAGACAUUAGCAUUCCAUCAGGACAUUUCCUGCAGACUGAUGAUUGAUCUUGUGCUUAGAAUUUUAGAAGUAGCAGGAAUUAGUAGUAGUUCUACCGGUGGUGGUGUUAUUUCCAUUUUCCAUCACCUCUUCUUUUAGUUGUAAAGAAAGUAGGUUUGUCAAACAUGUGUAGACUAAUGGUCUGUAACAUAACAGGGGGUUAUGAGUCACACAACAAAAUACAAACCAAGGUCCUAUGUCUAACAGAUCUUCUGAGAGGGGAAGUGAAGAAGAUGUAGAUUUAGGCUUCAGGCAAUUAGGUCAGUCGCUCUGGUACAGAAAUUUACUAGAUUUUCUUUUUCACUUAGUACUGUAUUUUCCUCCCCUUAUUUGUCUAUACUUGUACUGAUGCAACUUCUAAAAACUACGUGGAAUAAGCAUGACCCUUUUCCCCUCUUUAUUUUUUUUGUCUAUAUCUCUGUCAUCUACUGGUCUCUGCACAGUUGAAUUUUGGCUGGUUUGUAUCCAUGUGAGACGGUGCAUCGAACUUCGGCUUUUGAUAAGAGGCUAAAUAUUGUUCAUAACCGACCAGUUAUUUUAACUUUUUUGCUAGAAUGGAUGGGUGGUGGUUGUGGUAGGGUAGCUCAUUUGGAGUCUUUAGAUGUUUUGAAAGAAUCUUGUCAUGUCAUCAAGUUCCACUUUUCACUUCAAAAUUGUAAUCUCCUGUUCAAAUUUGUGCAUCCUGAGGUAGGUGAAUGGAGUUAUGUAAGAACUUUGCAAGGUGCUUUUGUGGAAGGGGACUGGAAAUGGAGAAAUAAGCUUGAUUCUACUGUGUUGCUUUUUUUAUCUUGUCAUCCGUCUGAACGGGAAGAUUUGGUGUCAACACUUGACAAUAAGGAAGUCUUGAUUGUAUUUUCCUUCGGGGCUGCUAAAAUGGAGGUUGAAAAGAAUCAUUAAAAGACUUUGAUAUCUCAAAACACGGGCGUGAACAGAUAACAAAAUAUGAAAUCUCUAGUGUUGUUGUUGUUCUUGUCAAUGGUGGUGGCCAGAAAAGUCGAAAAUCCAUCUUGUUGAGAGGGAGCCAUGGAAUCCUAGCAAUAGAGCAUGCGUGGGUAGCAAGAAAGUGAAUGAUUUGCCUAAUCCUAAAUGGAGAUAGUCAAUAGAGAUGCCUUUUUCUUAUGGAAUAUAAGGCAAUUUGGUCACACCUGUAAUGAUAGGUUGCUGUGAUUAGAAAACACAUAUCGGUGGUUAUAGUGGUGGUGGAUGUGCCUUUAAAUGGUUGAAAGUUUGAAACCAAGGAAUCUUCAAUUCCCAAUAAGCCUUUAUUUUAUUUCAAAUCUUUGAUCAAAUCUUCAAAUGGGCACUUAAUUUCUUUGUUGAUUUACAAAGAGGGACGGCAAUUGCAAGGAAACUACCUUAAACUUAACUGCAGUUAUGUCCUCUACAUGUUUGUUCUUGCCUUGUUUUGAAAAUACUUAAUUUUUUUUUUAUAUUUUCAUAUCAUUUUAAAACAAUACCAAACUAGCUCCUCUUGUUAAAUUCCAUGCAAGAUUCCAUGUUUAAUGUUUUGGCAAAUCUAGCUUUUUUAUUUUUUAUUUUUUUUAUAAAGAAGAGCAAUUGUACACAUUAUAGAAUCAUUUUAGGACAUAUUGUUAUUAUGGUAGCUGUUUUUUUUAAAUAUUAUAUAUAUAUAUAUUUUUUUUUCAAAAACAUUUUUACACAGUAAAAACAAAAGACAAUAUCUGUGCAGAUACAGUGUCCUCGUUUUUCAGAAAUGGGUGGACCCCAUUAUUGAUUUUUUUUAUAUAUACUAAAAACCUAGAGGUGGUGGGUAGGGGUGAUGGUACUAUGGUAGACUGGUUAGACAGGGUGACCCAUUGUGUGCAUGGUUUUGGAUCCAAGGUUGAAUGAAGCUGUAAAAUUUCCCACGCACGGACUGUCUCUUUGUGGGCUUUUGAAGAUACUCAGGGUAGCAUUCUCGAGGCGAGGCCUGCCAAUUUGCAGAAAUUGCCAGACAUUUUGUACCAAAUGUUGCCUAGAAGCAGAAAUAUGUUACACAUGUGUUUACAAGCUGCCGAUUCUACAGCAAAAGUGGUCCUAGAAGACUUUCUGCUAGAUUGAUAAUGACCCCAUCUGAAGCUUUUCAAGGAAAAAAAAAGGGUAGCUCGGGAGAUCUGCAAUAUUUACCACCCCAACAACCCCUCUUCUUCAACUAGUGGGGACUGCAUUUCUGUAAAGACUAUUCAGGAGUAAUAUGGAACUUUUGAACAGCAGAAAAUCUCAUUGCAUCAGCAAAAGAAAAUCUCAUCUGAAUCAUUGUGUGUUCCCUUGGCCAACGGCUGCUUGAAUCGCAAAGAAACAACCGCCCCAUUGAGUUAAUGAAAUCACUUGAGAGCUCCGAUCAUUUUCACUCAUGAAGUAUGGCGAUUGACGAUUCAGUUUGUUUGACCAGUAGUGUAUAAGAUGUUCAUUAUGGAAACAGGGCUGCUGCUAGGGGUUGCCAUGCAUGUCACCGGCGACUGCCUCUUUUUUAGGCCAUCAAUGGCCGGCAUGCAGUAGCAUCUCUAUUGGCACGUGAAGCGCACAGAUGAGCUACAUGAGUUAGUGAUGACAGGCUGCAUGACUCCGAUUGGUACCUGCUGGAGAAUAAUCUCUAACCAGACGGCAGAUUUUUUUAAAUGGUUUUCUUGAGAUACCAAUUCCUUGAUAAAUGAAUCACAAUGUGCUAGCAUUUCAUUCAUAGGGAAAAUUACCUAGGUGUGGAAUUGUUGUCUCAGGAGGAACGCGUUGUCACAUCAGGUGUGGAAUCAGCAACCUAGGUGGGCACCAACUAUUGAUUUAUCGAAUUAAAUAAUAUUUUUUAAAUGCUUAUUUGAAUAAUUAAUUUGAUAUUAAUUUCUUUACUUAUGCAAUGAAUACACAACCUAG